AUUGAACGCUGGCGGCAGGCUUAACACAUGCAAGUCGAGCGAGUGGCGGACGGGUGAGUAAUGUCUGGGAAACUGCCUGAUGGAGGGGGAUAACUACUGGAAACGGUAGCUAAAACCCCUUACCUUCAGUUUUGCCCAGAUGGGAUUAGCUAGUAGGUGGGGUAAUGGAUCACCUAGGCGACAAUCCCUAGCUGGUCUGAGAGGAUGACCAGCCACACUGGAACUGAGACACGGUCCAGACUCCUACGGGAGGCAGCAGUGGGGAAUAUUGCACAAUGGGCGCAAGCCUGAUGCAGCCAUGCCGCGGGUGUGAAGAAGGCCUUCGGGUUGUAAAGCACUUUCAGCGAGGAGGCGUUACUCGCAGAAGAAGCACCGGCUAACUCCGUGCCAGCAGCCGCGGUAAUAC
rnacentral:rRNA from 1 species